UUAAUUUAUUUGCUUGUGUUACUCAGAAGAUACUCAUGAAGACAAGAGUUUGGGUCCUCCGGCGGGCGCCUGGGUCCGGGCCCGAGGGCGCCGGGGCGAUCCCGCCGAAGCAACAAUAGGUAUGUUCGCAGGGGUUUGGGAGUUGUAAACUCGGUAAUGAUCCCUCCGCUGGUUCACCAACGGAGA
rnacentral:misc_RNA from 1 species